rnacentral:lncRNA from 1 species
UAUUAACAGUUGGUGGAACAAGAAAAGAGUAGGAGAAUUUACUGCAGCUUUCAUAUUACCAGUUUAUGGACUAGUUCUCAAGAAAGAUCAAGAGAGCAAACAUAAUGUACAUUACUUGGAUAUAGCAAUAAUAAUAACUAAUCAAACAAUGAAUACUGCUGUUUACAAGAAACCCACCCAUCAGCCAGUUCUAAUACCUAGCUGGUCAACUGGAGCCAGCGUCAUACAAAAAGGAUGUUAAGAGAGUGCUACUAUAGUGCACAUAGCAGCAUGAGAAAGAAGAGAUGGAAUUUAUAUAUGAAACAGGCUACCAGUAUGGGUACAGAAGACAGUUUUUGAAACAUAUCCACAUAGAAGUGGAGAAGGCUCUGCAAGGAAAAUACCAAGAUAAUGCUUGCCAGAACAUAGCCCCUCCAUAUAAGCAGGAAUAUUUAACAGUUCCAUAUACAUUUGGCAGCAUGAAAUUUGCAAAGGAUGUAGGAAAACUCACGAGAAGACUAGCAUACCAAAGAACUUCAAAUAUAUUUAACAGCCUGAGGAACAAGAAAGAUAAGAAAGGAGACCUGAAAAGAUCUG